ACAAAAUGUGAUGCCAGGCUGUUAAUCUUCUCAUGCAAUCCUGUUUCUGGAGCGACUUUGUACCUCAGACUGAUGACCAAUGCCACUGGUUAUGUGCUGGUGUUUUCAAAGAUUCUCCCCAGUGAGCAUUUAAAAGUGUUCAUUGUGAAGAACGGAACGGUGAAAAUACGUGAGUCCUACAGGAACAGAGUCGAGUUUUCCAUCGACACCGGCACGCUCAAGAUCACUGAUCUACAGGUGGACGAUGCAGGCCAGUACAGUUUUGAUGUCUACACUCCAAUUGGCUUGAUUGUGCAAAAGCUCAGUUUCACCCUCAAUGUCGGAGGGAAAAAAUCCAAUAUGAUAUCCAUCAAAAUAUCAAUCUUUCCAGUGGUGGGUGUUCUCAUUUUGAUUUUGGUUGGCUGUGUGGUUUAGAAGAGGAAGCCCUGCAGGAAGACAGGUUACCAGACGUUACACUGAAAACUGAGACCAUCAUAUUAAACUUCAACAUUCAUGACCUGGAAACCAAAAUCAUCUGUUGUUUGAACUCUUAGCAGCUGAGGAAGACAUUGCUUAAAUAUAGAUUAAAAAUUAUGAUUAAGUCUGAUAAUUAAGCGCAACUACUUUUUGGUCAAGUCUAACCUUUUAUUUGCUUUAUGAUGUGCUUUUAAGAUUGCUGAUACAAUCGUUAUUGUGUUACGCAUUAUUAAUGUACUCCUCUUUUCUCGUUUUAUUUCUAACAGCUGUUGCUUGUUCAUUUUUGGUUUUUG